GACGAACGCUGGCGGCGUGCUUAACACAUGCAAGUCGAACGGAAAGGCCCUGCUUUUGUGGGGUGCUCGAGUGGCGAACGGGUGAGUAACACGUGAGUAACCUGCCCUUGACUUUGGGAUAACUUCAGGAAACUGGGGCUAAUACCGGAUAGGAGCUCCUGCUGCAUGGUGGGGGUUGGAAAGUUUCGGCGGUUGGGGAUGGACUCGCGGCUUAUCAGCUUGUUGGUGGGGUAGUGGCUUACCAAGGCUUUGACGGGUAGCCGGCCUGAGAGGGUGACCGGCCACAUUGGGACUGAGAUACGGCCCAGACUCCUACGGGAGGCAGCAGUGGGGAAUAUUGCACAAGGGGCGGAAGCCUGAUGCAGCAACGCCGCGUGCGGGAUGACGGCCUUCGGGUUGUAAACCGCUUUCGCCUGUGACGAAGCGUGAGUGACGGUAAUUGGUAAAGAAGCACCGGCUAACUACGU
rnacentral:rRNA from 1 species